GAUCAUGGCUCAGAUUGAACGCUGGCGGCAGGCCUAACACAUGCAAGUCGAACGGUAACAGGAAGAAGCUUGCUUCUUUGCUGACGAGUGGCGGACGGGUGAGUAAUGUCUGGGAAACUGCCUGAUGGAGGGGGAUAACUACUGGAAACGGUAGCUAAUACCGCAUAACGUCGCAAGACCAAAGAGGGGGACCUUCGGCCGUCUUGCCAUCGGAUGUGCCCAGAUGGAGUUAGCUUGUUGG
rnacentral:rRNA from 1 species